GAUGGUGAUGAUGUCACUCAGCUGAGAGGAUAUAAUCACGUGGAACCGAAAGUGAAAGUAAAUCUGAACGCUGCUCGACUCCUGAAACCAUCUUCAUGGGCUCGUUGUGAUCAGAAUCAGCGAAAAUGGCGACACUUCCUGAGCUGUCAGGGGAAAAAGGGGAAAAAAACACACGAUGAAACCCAAAGAUGCUGAAUAAUGGGAUUGAGUAUAGUGAAGAAACAACAAUUCACAGACCUAAUGAACUGGACCCGAACAUUUAAAAGAACUGAUUUGACGCGUUAUAGCUGGAGCGAGUCUGUCUAUAGAAAAUGGCGGAACUGCCUAAAAAACAGCUGUCCAGACAAAGUCAAGUCACCUUUAUUUAUAUAGCGCUUUUUACGAUGCAGAUUGUAUCAAAUCAGCUUUACAUUGAUAACUGGUAAAUAAUUUUGGCUGCACAGCAGCUCUUAAAGAAAAUGGUGUCAGUAUCCAGCUUAAGUAAAUCCAGUAUUGAUUCAUUCCGAUGUAAGAAACAAUAGUUAUUAAUUUAGUUAAUUUAUCUAUAUCAGCACUGGAGUAAACAGUGUUGUCCUCAUCCAGUUCAGUUCACAUACAAUGGUGUCAAUGCAGAUCAAAGCACUGCUGAAUAUCAAAGGUCAAGUGUCCCUAGACGAGCAACAUUUUUUUCUUCUGUUUCCCACACCUGAACAUGGAUAAGAGGAGAAAGGGGUGGGGUGAGCUGGUUUGUUUUUUUUACCUUGCGCUCGAUCCGCCUAUAAAAGUGCCAGACUAUAAAAUAAAAUCGGCAUGGCUCGUGCACAGGAAUCUCAUUCUCCUGUCAGGAUCCCUCCCUUACUGUCACCGAGGAAAGAGCCUCUUUAAGCUUUUCCUCAUUUGAGUUGAAUCAUGAAGAACGUCUCUAAGACGUGUGGAGAGAUUCAGACUGACGACGGGUUUGAAUACAGACUUCAGGCACUGAAUCAGACACUCAGUGGAGACUGUGAGCACAGCUGGUAUUCAGAGGACGGGCGUCUGUUAGCAGAUCCAUCGAAUCCACACAGACUGAUGUAUCCUGUGACGUCUGUAUCAUCUGAUCGACUCGUCACGUCUUACUGUGUGGAUGAACUUCGUUAUGAGAUUCAGUGUCAUUCUAAAAGAAUCACACACGAGACCAUGUUCAGAGUGUUUAACGACACAAACUCCAGCGGCGGAUCGACACAAACUCCAGAUUCACAUCAGUUCUGGUGGAUUUCUGCUCUUCUCAUCAUCAUGGUUGUUCUUCUGCUCUUGAUCUGUUUCAUGCUGCGUAAAAGGAUCUUCAGAUGUUAUCUGAAAGCAGAGACGAGCGACAUUCAGCGCAAUGAUUCAGAAAUCAGAAUGGUUCGUGUUCUGGAGCCAGAGUCUGUUCUCGGCCUCAGGGAUCCUGAAUCUGAUCCUGAAUCUGCUGUCCAAAUAAAGCUCAGAUCUGAUGAAUCUGAUUCACUGAAUCAUUCUGAAUCUGAGCAGAUCAACGGCUCGUGUCCAGAGGAUCAUCCUGUCAUUACUUGUCUGGCAACAUAAUACAGCGCUUUUAGUCGUUUCUGCGGAUCUGUGUGAACGGGAAUCAUUUGAUAACUCUGUCAACUCUACAGAGGAGAAAACGUUUCUGUCUUUAAUAUACUGUUGUUGUCAUAUAAACGUACCCUUUAAACAUUUGUAUUUUUUAUCAUUUACUGUCAAAAUAAUAAUAAAGAACCAACUGACCACAUUUGUUUUGUUGUUUUGAGUUAAAGAGUUAGUUCAUCCCAAAAAAGAGCAUUUCAUCAUCAUUUAUUCAACCUCAUGUUGAUCCAAACCUGUAUGAGUUUCUCCUGCUGAACACAGAAGAUAUUUUGAAGAAUGUCAGUAAGCAGACAGUUGAUGAUAGCCAUUGACUUAUAUAGGUUACCAUGUCUGAACUUCCUAGGCUAGAAGUUUAUGCUGUAGUAACAAAAAUGGAAACGGGAAUUGUGAAUAUUUCACUGGUCUCUAAAAUAUAUUCAAGAUAAUGGGUUCAUGAGAUGAGAUUUUAACACAUUUUUUUAAGAAAUCUUCAAUGCAAAAAUGACUAUAGUCUUUUAUUCGACUGAAAGUCACAAAAUAAAAGCCAAUGCAGGUGGACGACCCCAUAAAGUGCCCCAUUAUGGUUUUUGAAUAUUCCCUUUCAUGCAGUGUGUAAUAGAGGAUAAUAUAAUGUAUAUAAUAUAAUGUAUAUAGAUGUCUGUGAAUGAAAACAUUCAGUUGAAAGUGUACAAUAAAUAAAGUUAUUGUCUCUCAAAAGAAAGCACAUGUAACGCAGUAACACAUUUGCAAAACUGGACAUUUUUGUUUUGUUUCAAGAAUCAUGACAGAUUUAGAUAUUACAGACACAGAGGCUUUUCUGCAGGGAAACCCCCAGGAUACAGGAAUGACCAUAUAUGAACUUAACUUCCGUAGACACACCCAUGUUGCAGUGAGGACAGCUGAUGAUUCAUGCUCUUUUACAUUGAUUAUGUCACUGUGCUGAUACUCUUUCAAAAGGUACAUUAAGAGUGCAUGUUUGUUGGUACCUAUUACAGUUUUUUUCAACUGCUUACACACAUUUUCAAAACUUUGCCUCUUUUUUUCAAAACUUUACACACACAUCCAAGAAUUGCACACACAAAAUGCAAAAUGCCUCACAUCUCUUGCAAAAUGAAGCACUGCAUUCAAAAUAUCACAAACACAUCUCAAAAGCGAACAUUUGUCUUACUUUUCAAACACAUUUGCCAUAAUAUUCUAUUUUUGGAUGUAUCAUAUACACACAGUUAUUCAAAACCUAAAACUCUUCUUUCAUAAGCUGCUAUGUACAUUUCUGUACAAGAUUGAGAGUAAUUGGCAGAGAGAUGUUGAAAAAUUCAUGGUAAACAGGAAAGCAAGAUUAAAACCAAACUUUUUUUUUUUAUUUUUUUUACUGUAAGCAUUUGUGGUUGUGAAUACAGUAUUGCACAGUACAGAAUAAAAUAUAAUACAUCAACCAUGUGUAGUUGGACAAAAAAAAAACUAGCAUAAUUUUUGAAAAAGGUGAAUAUUCCAAAGGAAUGGUGUGUAUGUGUGUCCUGGUAGGACCAAAUGUCUUCAUAAGUAUAGUAAUACCAGUGCAUUUUGACUUUGUGGGGACAUUUAUAUACAGAAUAUACAGUAUAAAAACCAUUACACCUAUGGAAUGUCCCUAUAGAACAUGAAAACCCAAUAUGUGUGUGUUGUGUGUGUGUUUGUUGGUGGGCGAGAUGGUUGGGUGUAUCUAGACUCCAUCUCUCCUCCUGGCUGGGUCCAGCCACAAUACUUCAUCCACGUCACAUGCUAUGUUCUCUCUUGCGUAUCCAACCUUGGAUGGAGGCAGCGUCAGUGUCUCCACAUGCCUCCUCCAUUGCCUGGAGAGUGUUAUGUUGACAUAGGGACGACGAUCAUGCACUUUCCAGCAACCAUGUGGAGAAAAAAAAAUCCUCAAUAGGGUUUAGAAAUGAUGAAUAUGGAAGCAAGUAAACAACAGAAAAGUUGUGCAAAACCUAUAACUUGACCUUUGGCCUAUUUAUAGGCCUAUUUUAAAGCCAUGAUUGGCUGGUGUUAAGUAAAGCAGUGAGUGUUUGCACAUGUGAGGAGUUAGUGUGAGGCACUGAUGAAUUAGUGUGGCAUUUUGAUGGUUGUGUUUGAAAAAGGAAAUCAAGAUACUUCCUGUUAGAUUUUUGUGUGUUACAUAGAGAAUUGUGUGUUGUGUUUUGCAAAAAGUGUUUUAUGAAAUUGAAAACUGAGUCGAAGGCUGAGAAUUAGUGUAUGGUUUUGCAGAUUUGGUGUGUGGUUCUGCUGUUUGAGUGUCAGGUUUCAGAAACUGUGUGACAAGUAAAGAUUUUGUGUGUAAGCAGUUGAAAAAAACUGUAAUACCUUUUUAAAGGGUACCGUCCCAGUGACAGCUUUAUACCUUUUUAAUCUGACAGUGAACUCAGAUUUGUGUAGGAGGAGGAUGAGGACUAGAAAGUCUAAUGAAUGAUCUGUAGUGUUUAUAUAUUGACUGAUGUGUGUAUGAUCUGAAAGCUUUGAUUGAUUUUGAGAACAGGUGAUAUGGUUUGAGAAGAGUCGGGGUUUUGUGAAUGUAGUUUGAAGAUUUGGUUUUGUGUUUCAGGUUUUGAGAAAAUGAGUGAAUGUUUAUUUUUAGAAAACACUUCUCAUGUAGUAAUUAGUUUAAGAGGCUUCCUGUUUUCUCUGGUGUUUUCUUUCAGAGGCGAGUGUGUUUCUGUCCUCAAAACAUGAUUGUCUUUCAUUUGCUCAGGCUGGGCAUCUCUCUGUUUGAAUAUGAAUCAUUUGAGCUGCAGUUCAUCAGAACAAUAAACACAAACACAGUCAAUCCUUCAUUAGCACUAGCAGUGAUGCUAACAGUUGAACAAGUAAAACAAGACUUUGUUCUGUUGAAGCUCAUCUCAGACCGUCUCUCUAGAAAGCAGCAAAUCUCUGUGGAUUCACACAUACAGACACAUAAUGGAGAGCAGAGGGAAAAUCUGAUAUAUGGCCAAUAUAUAUAUACAAACGUUUUCUAAAUCAACUUCAGUAUGCUUAGAGUUCAAAUGGGGUCAUUUAUGACUAAGACUGGAGACACAAAAGAGACUGAAUUCCAGGAAUAACCCACAUAGUACACACAAUCACACAAAACACUAACUUACAUCUGAAGGUGUGAACUCUCUUCCUGCCGUGAGUCUGCUGGUCUGCGUGUGACUCAGUCUGAUUCUGACGGAUGAACUUGGUUUCAUAUGUGAAAAGACUUUAGUUUAUCUACGUCACCACUGAUUUAGUCACUGUCACUCUUAAUGUGUAUCGAGGACAACAUUCUCCAAAAGUAUGAUUUAAUUUCACAGCAUUAUUAAGGACUUACACAGUCACUGCUGAUGAUGACGCUGGGAAAUCUAAGAAUAGUAUUUUUCUGAAGAUCAGUGAGCAGUUUAACUCACUCAUGAACACUCAUAACAAAACAAUUUGUGGAUCAGCAGGUCACAAUAACAACAGCAGUGGACGUCACUCGCAGAGAUCACUUCCCUUUUCUGCAGAGCUGCGAAUGUGUGUGUGUUCAAUAAAGACAUGAAAGAUUAUGAUUGUGUGACUUUUACCAGAUGACAUUUCAUAACAAAUUAAUGCAGAAAACCAGUGAAUUCCAAAGGGCUUUCAACUGUAUAGAGUCUACAGUACGUGAUAUAUUAUGUCAAUAGAGAGUCCUCAUAAACCUUAAAUGCCAACAUGUUUGUGUGAGGAGGACCUGGUAAUUUCUUAAAUAUUUAAUUAUUUUAUUUUUUUAUUUACAGCGCCUCUACUCUGUUGCUCUUACAGCUUUGAGAGCAAAAGAAUUUACUGCAGGAUUUCAUCAAUGACACACAAACCACUACAUUAUAACAGACCGCACACACACACACACACACACACACACACACACACCGCCCCAUAUACUGGAUUCAUGUCAAGCUGAAAGACUUCUUUCGUUUCACUCAGGUUUUUGUCCCAGUAUUAAAGUCGUAGUGUACGGGACAUGUUUUUUAGUUUUUCCACAAAUUUUUACGUGUAUCUUCUUAUCUUGUAUUCACCACACUGAGUCCAUACUUUCCUUUAUCAUAUGGUUUAUUCUUCAAAGUCAACAAAGAAUCACAUUUCUCAAAUACAGCAUAAUCCUUUUGCUCAACAACUUAUUUCUAGAGAUACUAUAACUGUGGGCCAAUAUAUGCUGAUAAACGAUCAGAAGCUUUGUGUUCUCCCACCGUGCGUCUGAAACUUAUUGCAUGUGCGUCUUUUCACUUGGACUAACAAAAAUAUAUUCAACAGUAAAUUACCUAUUAACAAUAACUGUACCAAAUUCACAAAAAAAAGUGAAAAUAUAAAUUCUGAAAUAUGAAAUAGGAUCAAAAAACAGACAAAGAAGACCAAACGUCAUUACAAGCAAUACAAUCUAUUAAAAGUCUACUGAAAUAUUAAAGCGAAAUAUUCGAACUGUGGGCUAUUUCUAGACAAAUAAAAUCGUAUUUAGCAAAUGCAUUUAAUAGGCUACCUUAAGCGGAUCCAUGGACGAAAUUACCGAGGUGAGCUGAAGGACUGGAGUUAGAGGGGGGGAUUGAUUUAGUGUCACCUGCCUCGGCACACUGGUCGCUGGCGCCACGUGUUGCCCAAAGAUACGACUGACUAUAGGGAUUUUGCCCGGCCCUUCUGAACGCAGCAUAAGGACGAGGCUGCUGCGGAAGACGGAUUGAUAUUGUUAUGAAUGGACUUGUGACUUAAGCUCCGCCUCUUUAUCGUGAAGGGACGCUCCCCGGCGGACGACACGAUUUGCCCGUGCCCUGCUUUACCCCCUAUGGAUGGGUCUCCUCGGCCUUGGGAGAGGGAAGUGUUUUUGAGUCAUUCUACGAAACGGGUGCCAUUUCCACUUUGCAUUUUUCAAACUUUUCAUUAAGAACAAACUUUUUAUAAACGAACCUACAACUUGAAAGAUAUGUUAAUCCUCCAAAAAACAGGCACAACAUCUUUAUUGAUAUUAUCCUUUUUAUUCAGGCAAGGAAGCCAUUCUUGUACCACCCCGUCACGGACAAUAUGUAUACCAAUGGAGCAGUAAAACAAGAAAUUGAUUUUUAAAAUCGAAUGUUUUCCUAAUAGUAAAAUGUCCCUUUUUUUGGAAACCAUCAAUAGAAAGUCUGUAAUUUAAUAUUUUUAAUCUUGAAAUAUGAAUUUGGCGUUUCAAUGGCUUCAUUGUUUGUACUGAAAAAAUGAAUUCACUUAAAAAAUACAAAUAAAGUUACAUUUAUCUGAUUAGUCCACACAACAAGAACAUCAUUCAACAUUAAUUUAUGUAAUAUUUCAUUUUCUUUCCAUAAACUUUUAACAAAAUGACCCUGUGACGGGGUGGUAUGGACAAAGUGUUUCUCUAUAUGAUCUGCUGGUUUAAAACUUUAAAAACUCGGGGAGGGGAGACAUUCAAAUUGAGUAAAAAGUGUGUGAGUGAUAUAGUGAGUGAGUGAAUGAGUGAAUUAAUGAACCAAACAGUGUUGCCAAGUCUGUGGUUUUCCCGCAGAAUUGGGCUACUUUUACACUGUUGCCGGAGGUUGUUUUUCAUGUCCACGGGUUGAAGUGAGCCCAAAUAACACGAUAUUUAGCCCUUGGAAUGCACAUUUUACCAAGGGAACCCUGCCAAAAAAAAAAAAAAAAAAAAAGUUUUACCCCCUAGAACGUGAUUUUUAUCCGGGGACAUUUUGGGAUGAAAUUUACCACCCCGUCACAAAAAACCUGACGGGGUGAUAAAUUUCAUCCCAAAAUGUCCACAAACCUCCUCCCAUGUGGUCAAGUUUCUCACCUAGCAUACAUGUAUUCAAUCUGAAAUAUAAUUUCCUUUGUAUACUAAUGUAAAAAGAAAAAAUAAUAAAAAACAGUUUUCCCUAUCUAUUUUGCGUGACGGGGUGGUAGGUUUGAGCUUGACGGGCCCUGCCUAACAUGAAAAAGCAACAAAUAAACAAUGUAAAAAAUUAAAUAGUUGCCUGCUUUUGUCCUUGGUGGCUAUAAGGCUCAAAUGGUGUCACUCCGGCUUUGUGAUAUCAUUUAAAGGAACAGUGCAUCAUUUAUAGAUAAAACAAGUUAGUGUGACGGGGUGGUAAGUCAAACUGAGGGACGCGCACAAAUCAUAAAAUAUUUCCAAAAAUAAAUAAGGUUUAUUGUGAAUAAAUAUAUCUUAUGUAAACAGGGACACACAUAUAAUCCUGAAAGUAGUAUAUGUUUGAAAAAUAUAUAACUUAUUUGGUGAUAUUUUAGAUGCAACUGUCAUGUUGGUUAACACGGACAUGUGAAAUUGGCUAUAUAAUGAAAAAUGAUUAAAAAUAGUAUGCUAAUCUUCAAAAAAAAAAAAAAAAAGCAUUUUAUCAUAUAUCAUGUUAAAAAGAACACUUGAAUUAAUAAUUUUAAGCUUUGGAAACAGACUUUGGGGCAUUUUUUGUGCCUUACGCAUCUGAUCAAACGUUGCGGACCCAAAUGGCACCCGUUUCGUAGAAUGACUCUUUUAACUCAUUCAUUAAUUUAUAUAUAUGAAUUGUUUGUUGUUAAACGGAGAAACACGCCUUCUGUGUGUUCACGGUGUGCUGUGUAAGCGAGCUGUUUGAGUGCCAAAUAUCUGAUGAAUUGAGCGUGAAAUUCACUGUAAGUGAGGUGGUGAAUUGCGGGUUGUUCCAUGUUUAUUUUCCCCCUUCGCAGUAUCUACCCGUGCCUGUGCUAUGAGUCAUAUUUUUGUAUAUGCGAAAUAAAGUGAUUUCCCUGUGAUCAAAACAAGCGGCCGUUGUAUGAGAAUUUCUUUGACAGACGUGUUUGAGCUUUCUACGAGGUUUAUUACAGGCCUAUGCGGUUCCUUCCUUUUUUAUUUUAACACUGAUAAAUAGAAUUAGCAGAUACAAGCUAAUUUUCCUUAUGCAAGAUUAUUAUUUAACUUAUAUAUAUAUAUAUAUAUAUAUAUAUGAAUGACUCGCAUCAAAACGCCUAAAACGAUGACAUUGAUUAUUUUUCAUUCUAAUUCGUUAAAUUGUGUUUUUACAAUUACAUUUCAACCUAAACAUAACCAAUCCUAAACCUUAGCUCUUGUUCAGCGCUCCAACACAUAUAUCGAGUUCCCGCUUGUAUAGUCUUGAUCCCGAACUUUGCGUUUAAUAUGAAUAAAGGCCAAAACGACUAUAAUACGAUCUAAAUUACUGUGACUUUUUGUCUGGCUGUUAGGUGUUUUAUAUUGUUUUAUAUCGAGAAUGUUUUUUUUUUUUUAGGAUUAGGAAAUGAUUUAUAGCCAACGCUGAUGUCCUGCAGUUUAAAUUGAAAAUACCCCAACACAUGUCAUGAAGACAAAAUUAUAUCCCAAUAUGAAGACAAAAUUCCCAUGCCCUUGCCUCAGUGAGUGGAGGUUUGACAUGAAAUAUUUCUCAAUUCUCAUUGAAAGCAAUGCGUUAACGCCGCGUCGCUGGGAGACAUUAGGCCUAACGCUUUACGUGGCUUAAUCCUACUAAAACAACAACCAGAAACUAUUUUCUCACACAUUUUCUUGUCAUCAACAGCAUCUACUGUUUAGACAACGGCAACGUAAACAAAGUGGAAAUAUAGUAUUUUGAUGUUUAGCAUUUUUAACGGUUUUCUAUAACGCUGAACGUGAAAGCGCGUUGCCUUCAUGUUCGGCCUGAUCUGCUUGUCUAAAGCUUUAUUUGUCUUUUAAUAUCACUGUCUUAAUGCAUUCAGCGUUUUCUUUAUAACGGUAUUUUAUUUUCUAGGAAAAUGCUUAACGUGUUGGCUAAUUAAUUGCGUUCAUGUGGGCUCAUCUGCAUGUCUGUAUAUGCUUUAUUUAAAAGGUGUGUAGCCUACUGAAUUUGCACCUCCAAUAUCACUGUUUUAGUAGGCUAGUAGCCUACAUUAAGCCAGCAUUUUUCACAUUAAGCGCUUAAUAUGUCCCGCUUCGGGACAUAUUAGCUGCUCUCUGACAUCUCUGGAAGAGACAAAACAUAAAUAAAAUACGUAAAAUAAAUAUAAAAGUGAAGUGAAUGAAACUUUUCUUAUUAAAGACGUUUUUCCAUUACAAUCAGAAAAUUAUAACUCAAACAACUAAACCAUCAGUAGCCUACAAAUAUAAUGUACAUAUUCAUCUUUUCCCAAGUAGAUUUAAAUCAACAGAAUGGAGAGAUUGAGAUAAACGACUCAUAUUGCCUACAUUAUCCCAAACUAUAAAGCUAAUGAACAAUACGAAAAAAACGAAUAGAAUUAAAUCGUAAAACGCGCAGCUUUUUUAAGGUUUAAGGUUUGCACUGAAAUUAGUCUUUGUGCAUUAAACCAUGUUAAUAGUUUUAUCAUUUUUAAUACUUUUUAAUGCUUAGAAGAUCAUAACAAAUAUGCAGCAUUUGAUGAUCGCAUGAACACACAUACAUUAAUAAUAAGCAGGAUUUAUCACAGCGGAGUUUAACAUCGAGCCUCAGUCUCAGUCUGAAAGCAGAAUGAUUACUGAACUCAGCAUUUUUAAGCAGAACUGAGUCGCGACAGAGGGGCGGGGCCAACACUGGAGUACGGAAGAGGAAAAGAGGGCGGAGUAACGCAUUCAUGUGACGGUUCUUUUGCUGAUCUUUGACCAGUUGAAGUCAGAAGAUCAAAAAACUUAGAAAAAAAAAAAAUCACUACAAGCCAUACGCUCUAUCAAAGAUGAAAACUAAUAAGUAAUUAUAGACAAAGGCAAAAAAAAAAGAAAAACAUAUUAAUCAGAUCUCAUACCUUAACUGGACCUUAGUGAAAAUAAGUUAUAAGAGCAGAAAGCA